AAAUGAUUCUAGGGCAUCUGAAAACCCACCUGGUAUGAUUGACAGUCAGCUCUAGCCAAUCAGCAUUGCAGUAAACAUUCUAAAAGACAAUGCUUAAUGACGAAGUGCCGCAAAGUCGACAAUUCGGCGUGCACGCAGGAAAAACGCAUAGGAACUGGGUCUAGCUCAACUGACUCUGCAACAAUGUUCAAAGCUAUUGAGCGCAUGGCUAUCUCGCAAUGACGGAUAUGUCAAUUUAAUAAUGGAUGUAUACAUAUACAUACUCGUUCCAGGUAUGUUCGACGACACUCCAUCGGUCAGCAUACCAGUGGUGGAGGGAGGAUUCGGCCAGUUUUGCCCCACCUGAUGUGCAGGGUGCUGCAGUGGACGAGACAGAGAAGAAGAACCGAUAACGGAUUUCAUAUCUCGAAGCGAGUUGCAGAAGGGGAAGGCUGCCUCGGCACGACAUGAAGAAUCUAUCGGUGUACAAGAAUUACGAACCAGGAGAACCGACAAAUCGGCUGUACUUGAAGAAUCUAGCCAAGCAGUGUUUGAGAGAACAAGGAUUUGCGCUACAUCUUUGGUCGUUACGUGGAAAACACGGAGGAAGCAACUAACUUGUAA